AGCCCAGAGAAUUCGCCAGCUCCUGGGUCAGCGCGCCCCAAAGCUAGGGGGCCCUCUCCAAUCCUCCCUCCCCAAAGUUACAAGAACUUUUUGCUGCGAAGUUGUUUAUGACCGAGCUUAAACUCUCCCCGAUCCCUUCUCGGGACACUGGGGUAUCGCAUUGGCCGUCGAGGGUCGUCCCCCCUUCCCCCCAACGAUUUAGGAGUAAUGAAACUCGGGGGCACAGCUCCAGCUCGCGUGUGCUGCUCUGUAGGUCUCCCCUGCUCUUCAAAAACACAGUACAUUCCUGGGGUUCGGGAAGGUCCACUCCCCAGCUAGCCUUUGGGAACGUCUAAUUCGCGGUGGUCUUGUGGUUAAAGGUUAGCCACUGGGGGUGUACUUGAAAAUACCUCCACGCCAGCGUGGUCGGGGCCCCUCUCCUUUGUGAAGCCCUAUGUGCUCUGAGAAAGAGCUUCAGGUAAUGUGAUGUCCCGUGUGCUCUGAGCUUUCCCAGGAGAAAGAACCUCAGGAUCCCGAGCGAGCAGAGUGACUGGAAAUGAACGUCGCGGGGUUAUCAGCGCCGAUCUGUCAGCAAGGACUCUCGCGGCCUCGGGCUCGUCUGCCGCGGCAGCCGUGAUGUAUGUCUCGCUCUUUUUCGUUCACAAAAAGGAUCUCUUCCGACAGACGAGUCCCCCAGAGGCUACCGAGAGAGAAUUUAAUUAGGACAAGAGUUGUUUUGUGCGAACGGAUUUCUACACUCCCACCCACCCCCAGUCAUUUUUAUGACAUUCCUCCUGGCCUCUCCCAAUCACGGCGGCAGCUCCCGGGUUCUGCGUGGCAGCAUUUGGGAAACGUUGAAGGCAGAAAACUCUGGAACGGACAUUGGCGGCUGAAGCUGGAUCCAGGAACUUUAAAUUUUAACCUCGGUCCGAUCGAUAGAACAUAUUCGGGCGCCUGCUGGCCACCCCACUCCUACCAGGGCUUCAAAAGGCUGCCUUCGGAGUUCGUUCGUGAGUUCUGAUCACAUUUCGAAGUGGGGUGGGUUUGCCAAAAGUUCGUUUGUAAGCCAUUUAAAAAAAGAGUGUGGACGUUUGAUUUCUUUUGAGUACAAAUGUUUGGAAAUCAUGCGCCUUGGUUUUGAUAUUAAAAGCAAUUUUAAAAAGAA